rnacentral:pre_miRNA from 1 species
AGAAGAAGAAGAAGAAGAAGAAGAAGAAGAAGAAGAAGGAGAAGAAAAUAAGUCUCCUUCUUUUUCUUCUUCUUCUUCUUCAUCUUCA